GCUUGCGGCUGCACCACCCUGAAUGUGCCCAAUCUCGUCUGAUCUCAGAAGCUAAGCAGGUUUGGUCCUGGUUAGUACUUGGAUGGGAGACCACCUGGGAAUAUCAGGUGCUGCAAGCC
ensembl:rRNA 5S_rRNA 5S ribosomal RNA